AUAUUAUCAGAACCAAGAAUUUUGAAAGAAACCAUAAUAUUAUAUUAUUUAUUUGACGUUUAGGUAUUCACUAUUCUUUAGUAUUUAUAAAUAAGGCUCUGCAAUUUGUCAAGAUUAUUCUAAACCAGAAUCAACUAAUUUACAAUGACGAGCCCACUUCAAGUUCUGUGUGAAGUUAAACGCUUAGUUAGAGAUAAGUCUUAGCACAGACUUGUGUGCAAAAUAUGGCAACAGCUUAUGGACAUAUAUGUAUUUCAAGAAUAAGCUGCUUGAGAAAAUAAGUUUGUGAAUAAUGUCCGAGAAUAUUACAGUUUCUCACAUAUCAGUUCAAAUGGUGUUACAAAACUAGAUUUACCAUGGAAUUUGGUGAAAAAUCACUGCAGACAAAAUGGAUGGGAUGAGAUUAUGUAUUUUAAAGAAGAAUCUGUAUGGCCCGAUAGGGUCAAUUUGUGGACUAUUAGACAAUUAAUACCACAAGUUCCACAUGUUGUAUUACGUGACGAUCCAGAUUUUAAUGGGCAUUGAAACUAUUUUACAUCAGAUUUAUUUUAUUUUCUUAUAAAAACAGAAAAAAUCAUGUUCAAAGAUUAUGGUUUGAACAAAACUGUAAUGAAAACACUUAUUUAAUUUAGAGCAUGGUUUAAUAAUGGAUGUAAUUGCUACACCAAAUAUAUUCUACGGUAUAAUAUUAUAUUGUUUGUAGUAAAUCGAAAGAAAUUAUAGUUCAUCAUGAUGAUUGCAAAAUGUAUUCACUAGAAAUGCAAGAUCGAUGGGAUAAAAUUUGCCACUGUCGAGGAAAAGUAAUAGGAAUCCAACGAACAUCGCGGCCAAGAAGAAAGAGUCAGAUAACAACAGGUGCCAAACGAAUUUAAGCAGGCCGGCCAUCAAAUAGUGAAAUGCUAUCUAAUAAAAGACGUACCAAAAAAAGAUGUUUAGCAGAAAAUAUGAAAAAUUACAUUAACAUAUAAUAGGUAUACAUAUACAGGGU